rnacentral:hammerhead_ribozyme from 1 species
UUCCAGCUGACGAAUCCCGAAUAGGACGAAACGCGCUUCAGACUGAAU